rnacentral:rRNA from 1 species
AUUGAACGCUGGCGGCAUGCCUUACACAUGCAAGUCGAACGGUAACAGGUCUUCGGAUGCUGACGAGUGGCGAACGGGUGAGUAAUACAUCGGAACGUGCCCGAGAGUGGGGGAUAACGAAGCGAAAGCUUUGCUAAUACCGCAUACGAUCUCAGGAUGAAAGCAGGGGACCGCAAGGCCUUGCGCUCACGGAGCGGCCGAUGGCAGAUUAGGUAGUUGGUGGGAUAAAAGCUUACCAAGCCGACGAUCUGUAGCUGGUCUGAGAGGACGACCAGCCACACUGGGACUGAGACACGGCCCAGCCUCCUACGGGAGGCAGCAGUGGGGAAUUUUGGACAAUGGGCGCAAGCCUGAUCCAGCCAUGCCGCGUGCAGGAUGAAGGCCUUCGGGUUGUAAACUGCUUUUGUACGGAACGAAAAGACUCUGGUUAAUACCUGGGGUCCAUGACGGUACCGUAAGAAUAAGCACCGGCUAACUACGUGCCAGCAGCCGCCGUAAAAC